rnacentral:rRNA from 1 species
AACAGAGGAUGCAAGCGUUAUCCGGAAUUAUUGGGCGUAAAGUGUCUGUAGGUGGCUUUUCAAGUCGGUCGUCAAAUCCCAGGGCUCAACCCUGGACAGGCGGUGGAAACUGCCGAACUAGAGUACAGUAGGGGAAAAGGGAAUUUCCGGUGGAGCGGUGAAAUGCGUUGAGAUCGGGAAGAACACCAACAGGCGAAAGCACUCUGCUGGGCCGUCACUGACACUCAGAGACGAAAGCUAGGGGAGCGAAUGGG